GUCGGUGGGGGGACGGCUCCUGUUGCGGCAGGCGUGCCCGGGCGUGCUGGUAAGUCACGAGGAAGUUUAAAAUCCCAAGGACCAAACAGGGUUAAGGUUAACUUGAGUCGGGUACGAUUAGUGCAGCCCUAAGUUAUUUACUUGAGAACUGCGGCUAGGUGAGCAAGAAGAUGGAUAGAAGGCAGACACUCCCAGGCAGCGUGAGGCCUGCCCCACCCGCGGGCACAGACUGCGGGCACCAGCUGACCCAAGCACCAACUGAUCGAACCCCCCGCUGAGCCCUGCUCCCUCCUGUACAGCUGCCCCAAAGCCAUGGGCUUCCCUGGUGCAGCAUGUGUCGAUGGGUCCUCCGUUGCCUCUGACGUCUCCCCAGGCACUUGUAUGCUGCGCAGGGGUCUGGAUGUGUCCAGCAGCGGCACAGCAGCCGGAUGCCUCCUCUUGUCUGGGACACGGGGUCCUUCGCAGCUCUUCUGGGAUGCGGGGCCCUUGGUGAGUUCCCUGCCGCCUCUUCUGGCGUUCCCUGUGAGCUUGUAGAUCGCUCCUCCUCCUGCUCUCCUCUGGUGGGGUGGGAGACCAGUGGCUCCCUGCGCAAAGCUGACGGCCACGUGCGGCACUCCUAUGCACUUACUGUGCAUCUGGGAUGGCACCCCUGCCCUGAGGGCCCUGCAGAGUCCCACCUUUCCUGCAGCCACCCCCCCCCAAAGCCAUUAAGACACCCACAAAUCCUGCCCCAACAGCCCCAGAGGCCCCAAAAUGCCUCCAAACCCUGCUGCAACAUUGUCACUGACUCUAGACCUUCCCCUAAACUCUGUCCAAAGCCCCAAACAUUCAUAAAACCACUCCCAGACGCGGUUCCUGCAGCAGUGAGGCAUUUUAACAAAGAUGGGGUGUGAUCUGCAUCUCUGCCUCGACUCAGUCCCACUUUAGAGAAACGGGAGCUUACAGCACUUCCUGGUGAAGAGUGUUGACGGGUGGAUGCGCAGAUGACAAAGAGAUUUUCUCUCUUUUUUUCUGAGGCGCCUCUCAGAAGCCUCUGUACGUGCGAGAUGUGGCUGGUCUGGGAUAAUCAUGCUGUGCGCAGUGCUUAAGGAGAACAUUACCGUAAAAUGGCGGGCUAAGGAAUAGCCUAAAAAACCUAAAAGGCUUGGGAAAAGCUUAAGAGAACACCGAUGGGCUCUGGGAAGCCCCAGUGAUGCUACAGAAAACAGUGUGACUUUUAGGCACCUCCUCAGAGCAGCAGCAGUCUUUCUCCAGCCUAUAGGGCAAGGGAUACUAUUAAUUACCACCUUUAAUUACUGAGCGUCGUGAAAGCAGAAGGAACUCGAGGGGAUGCAUGGCAGGUCAUGGACUAUACGUAAAGUUUAAACAAGCAACAAUCCCCUUUUCAAAUAGAAACCGUUUAGUCCUAAGUAAUAGAUGAAGGUAGCUUUGAGUAACGUGGAGAGAAGCGGUUAUGUCAGUCACCCUGAAAGCCUCGGAGAAGCGGUCCAAAAAUCUGAUAACCUCGCGGCCUCAGCAGUCUUUGGUUUGUUUGGCAGGGUAGCUCACUGAAAGGGGACGUCUUGAAGAGAAGCAGCUAGACCUAGGGAUCCGGUUGUUCCUUUUGGUCAUCACCUGUGAGGCCAGCAUCCAAGCAUAAGAGGAAUCUAGGAGUUGUGCCAAAAAGAGUGUCACGAGACUCUUGGGCAAGACGGAGGAGUUCAGAUUUGCAGCCCGCCAGAAGAAUGUCGCCCUGGAGGGGUUGCUAGCCUCGAGCUAUAGGUGCUGGCGCGUAUGGCAUUCAGAACCUCAGGGAACGACUGUAUGCUGCCAUGAAGAACUACAGGCUACCGCUGCCCUCGGACCUUUGUAAGUUGUCACGUGUCAAGAGCAGCCUGGAGAAUCCAAACGGCGGCGGAAAGGUUCUCUGCCUGGUCUUGAUGAGGAGCCUUCGGCCGUAGGAAGGUUGGCCGCGUCCUUAUUGGACUUGUGAGUAAUAAGCCGCAGUGCGUGGACCAGCAAAGGAGGGGGGCAAUAGUGACUGGUAGCCCGGUCAGCGGGCGUUGCUGUUGCUGGCAGGGCCACGAGGUCUGUGUGAAGCCUCACCUGCCUGUUUGGAGCUCUGUUUUGGUCUGUUUACCUGGAAUGACCAGUGAGGCCUAAAAUAGGAAUUUUUGUGGCUAGAUGGGUAAGCCGUGAGCCCACCUGUCUUUGCCUUGCUUUGCUGCUUAAUGUCCUAACAGUGACUUGAGACCCCAGAAUAAAAACUGCUACAGCGCUUAAGGGAGGAUCUGCAUUUGCCCAGGUUAGGGAACCAUCAUUAAAGCUUUGGGGGGGGGGGGGGGGAAAGCUCUAAAAUGAGAAUCUCCCAGUGACCUUGGUGGUUUGAUUCACUUGCAGGAUGCUGUUCUGAGGGCCGGCAACUCAAAGAGGAGCAGCUCAGUCCAUUUUGUUGAUACUGUUUUGAGCACAGAAGGGGUCUGGCAGGGUUUUCAAAGAAGACAGGGAAGAGCAAGGAAGACUUGAGGGUGUGGAAAAACUAGGUGCUGCGGGUACUUAAUUUGUUAAGGGCUGAGGGCAUUUGGGGUUAAGCAUCUGAAAGGGGCUAAUGCACGAGGAAUAGUAAAAUACUGUGACUGAACACAGGAUUCCUCCCCAGCCUGGGCCCGUGCGUGCACCCUCGCUCUUGCAGACGCAGACACCCUGGAGCCAUAGGGAAACAGGCAAGCAGGCCCACGAGCGGACUUUGGGCACAGCGGCGUGCAGCGAGCUGUGUGUGCUUGGCAGGUGCUGAAGCCCAGUCGGGCAGUCAAAGGAGCCUCGUCGCAGCCGGGAGCUCUGCGGAGAUGCGCGGCUGGCCGUGGAGGGUGAGCUCUGACUUGCAGCAGGGACACAGCUAAGUCCUGGGCUGCUGCAUCAUAUGCGAGCAGCACUGGAAGGUGCAAGGUGGUUGUCCCCUAAGUGGUUACUGGUGUCGCUGGCUGUGGAUGUUUGCCCACGGAGCUGAGAGGACCAAAAAUAUGAAUUGUCUGACACAGAGAUGAAUUAGUGCUUGCAGGCUUUCAGGUAGGUUCAGUGCAAGUGCAGCUUAGUGCAGUCCCGUGGAGUGACGCUUGCACAUGCUCACAUUUGAAUGGUGGCUAAAACCAAGCCUCUAAACAGCAACUGUAAUGUGAUUCUGGUGCAUGUCUUCCUGUUCUGCUGUGCUUCUAAAUGAAGGGAAAACUUAAGCUGUGGGCAAAACUCCUUGGCUUCUCUUUACUGUUUUCAUGCGCAUGGGUGCUUUGGUGUUUGUCGCUUAAAGCUGAGGGUUUGGAAUUUUUCACUUAAGGUUUAUUGUUUAGUUUGUUGUUGAGGGUCUCUCACUCGGGAGUUAUUGUUUAUUCCUUUCUUUUGUGGGGCUCAGUCUUUAUCAGUCAGUGUUUACAGUUUGCUCAUGUAGCGAUCAGGGCACAGGAUUUAAAAUCCAACCUCAUCCAUAAAUUUUAAAGCCUCGGCAACCACUGGCGUUCCAAGACUUGCAGUUUGUCACUUAGUGUUCAGGGCUUAUGACCUGCUGAGCAAUGAGAAGGGCUAAAUCCUUAGAUAAUAAACUGUAAGCCCUGAAGCCUAAGCAGCAGGCUGCAAACCCUCCUUUGGGCUUUGUAACCUUCCCCUGUACCCAGCGUUCAGCUCUGCGCGCUGACCUGAGCUCUGGAUUUGAUAUGGCGCAGGCCCAUCACACUGAGACUGGCAAUGUGACAGGCGAGCUGAGAGCUGUGGAAGUGUCUUGCAGGGCUCUAGUCUGGGGUAGGGCAGAAGUGCAGACAGGCGAGAUCAGGCAUUUUCCUCUCAUCUCUGAGCUGAAUCCUAGCCCUGAAGGAAAAAGCAGAGGAGUAGGCUGUCGGCUACUCAGACACCUGCCACGUGAAGGGCAGCGGCAAGAGCUGACCCUUUCCGACGGACGGAUGGACGCUGGUGUGGCGAUGACUCUUCAGGCAUCGCAGGUAAGGGGAAGCAUGCUAGCGCUGAGCUCCAUGGCAGACUCGCUUCCAGGUGUUGUUUCUGCGCAGUAAAACAAUAAACAGUUGCUUUAUUCUUUGCA